rnacentral:rRNA from 1 species
CGGUGUUUAACUGGCGUGAUGUGGGACGUCCUACCGGUGGGCUUAGCCUCGCGAGGGGCGGCCCAACUAAUAUCCCGUCGCGGUGCUCUUUACUGAGUGUCGAGUCGGGCCGGUACGUUUACUUUGAACAAAUUAGAGUGCUUAAAGCAGGCUAUCCUCGCCUGAAUACUGCGUGCAUGGAAUAAUGGAAUAGGACCUCGGUUCUAUUUUGUUGGUUUUCGGAACCCCGAGGUAAUGAUUAAUAGGGACAGAUGGGGGCAUUCGUAUUGCGACGUUAGAGGUGAAAUUCUUGGAUCGUCGCAAGACGGACAGAAGCGAAAGCAUUUGCCAAAAAUGUUUUCAUUAAUCAAGAACGAAAGUUAGAGGUUCGAAGGCGAUCAGAUACCGCCCUAGUUCUAACCAUAAACGAUGCCAGCUAGCGAUCCGCCGAAGUUCCUCCGAUGACUCGGCGGGCAGCUUCCGGGAAACCAAAGCUUUUGGGUUCCGGGGGAAGUAUGGUUGCAAAGCUGAAACUUAAAGGAAUUGACGGAAGGGCACCACCAGGAGUGGAGCCUGCGGCUUAAUUUGACUCAACACGGGAAACCUCACCAGGCCCAGACACCGGAAGGAUUGACAGAUUGAUAGCUCUUUCUUGAUUCGGUGGGUGGGUGGUGCAUGGCCGUUCUUAGUUGGUGGAGCGAUUUGUCUGGUUAAUUCCGAUAACGAACGAGACUCUAGCCUGCUAAAUAGGCGUACCUUAUGGUAUCGCGAAGGCCCCCGGCUUCGGCCGGUGGGUUUUUACUACCAACGUACAAACAAAUCUUCUUAGAGGGACAGGCGG